ACUCCUACGGGAGGCAGCAGUGGGGAAUUUUGCGCAAUGGGGGAAACCCUGACGCAGCAACGCCGCGUGAGUGAUGAAGGCCUUCGGGUCGUAAAGCUCUGACAGGGGGGACGAACCGGCAUGGUGCUAAUACCAUCAUGCCCUGACGGUACCCUCAAAGGAAGCACCGGCUAACUCAGUGCCAGCAGCCGCGGUAAUACGGAGGGUGCAAGCGUUGUUCGGAAUUAUUGGGCGUAAAGCGCGUGUAGGCGGUUUGUUAAGUCUGAUGUGAAAGCCCUGGGCUCAACCCGGGAAGUGCAUUGGAAACUGGCAGACUUGAAUACGGGAGAGGGUAGUGGAAUUCCUAGUGUAGGAGUGAAAUCCGUAGAUAUUAGGAGGAACACCGGUGGCGAAGGCGGCUACCUGGCCCGAUAUUGACGCUGAGACGCGAAAGCGUGGGGAGCAAACAGGAUUAGAUACCCUGGUAGUCCACGCCGUAAACGAUGAGAACUAKGUGUUGCGGGUAUUGACCCCUGCAGUGCCGCAGCUMACGCAUUAAGUUCUCCGCCUGGGAAGUACGGUCGCAAGACUAAAACUCAAAUGAAUUGACGG
rnacentral:rRNA from 1 species